CUAUAUACCGGUGGUUAGUUGGUUUUUGCUGGGAUUUUGCAUGAUUUGUUUUAUGUGUAGAUUGACUGAAUACUCAUUAUUCACCGUGUCAUUAUUUUUUUACUGGAAAUCGCAUAUCUUUUUGUAUCAACAUUCAUUUUGAUAACAAUAUCAUUCCAGAAGCCUAACAUUGAGAGGGAGCCAGAGAGAAAUUUUGAUCCUCAGCCAAUGCUGAAGGAAAUUUCUCAAAAUGUUUGCGGCAAGGCUGUCAUCUCGUCACAUCCAGCUGUUGUCCUGUCGGCUGAUGUCGGGUCAGACGCAGCCCCCGGCGCAGGCCUCGAAGGGCACGGCGUCACCGCCGCCCGCUGACGACACCCCCGUUGGGCCUGGAGCGAGCAAGGCGGGCACCUACAAGAACCCUGAGUACUACCGGUAUAACCCAAUGUCCUACUUUGACCUCGAGCUGGACAUGAAGAAGGACAGGCUGCCGCAGCCCAACAGCCGAAAAUGAGCCGGACGAUGGCAGGGACGACCGGGGCCGUGGUGCGAUCUGUUGGUGUAGAUUCGUGCAUGUGUGUACAUAGGUGACCGUAAAUAUAUUGGUGCGGAUAUUG